rnacentral:misc_RNA from 1 species
CAAUAAUUUGUUUUGUGGUUAAUGUGUUAUGAGCAGGAGUUGACCAAUCAAGUUAAGUUUUUGCAAGCGCAACUUACAGAAAUACAUAAUAGAAUGAGCUAUUGGAGUAACCCUGGUAAGGUUGAUAGCAUAGAACAUCUUAGUCAGAUGGAAGAAUCGCUAAAAGAGUCUAUUAACCAAAUCCGUCUGCAAAAGGUAUGCUUCUUGUACACAGUGUUUGGUGUUUAUGGCUUGAUAUCACUUAUUUAAGAUAGCAUAUUGUAGAGAAAUGACUGGAAUCCUGCAGACCUUCAAGAUUGAGUCUGCAUCUCAAUUUCACAUCUUCUGGUAGGAUGAUUCACAACACUCUUCCAAGCCCUACUGACCUCUCCAUGAUCACCUCCAGCUAGUGACAAAUCCUUACCCUUUGUCUUAUCUGUAACCUGCUGCCUUCAUGUUUAUCCCUAUCAAUAUUGUAUGUUAUGUUCUAAAAUCUUGAAACAUAAUCUUUAUUGAGAUAUCAUGUAUACCAUGUAAGCUUUUGUCGCAGCAUUUUAUUUGUACCACUGAAUUGUCAAGACUGCAGAUAGAACUGUUAACUUUUUUCCCUCCUUAGCGAGAUCUUGGGGAGUACUGGAAUAAUUUAUGGGUAUUAUAUUCUUACACUGCUACUUCUCUUUGGCAGGAAAAUUUUGGGAGUUGCCAACUUGUGCGACUAGAAUGCAGUAGC